GGGAAGAUGGCUCAGUGGUAGAGUGCUUGCCUCGCACUCAUGAGGCCCUGAGUUCGAUUCCUCAGUACCA
rnacentral:tRNA from 1 species